rnacentral:misc_RNA from 1 species
GCCUAUACCAACUGGUGCACUUUGACCUCGGCUCGAGAAACCAACUAUGGGCGACGUCUGGAUUAUAUCUUUACAAACGUUGAAUUGGCUCAAAGUGAUCUCAAGGACUGCGAGAUAUUGGCAGACGUAGAGGGCUCAGACCACUGUCCAGUCAAAGCAGAGUAUAUGGCAGGGUUUAUUCCGGCCGAAAAAUGUCCUCCUCUGUGCACGAAACAUAUGCCAGAGUUCUGUGGAAAACAAAUUAAACUUUCUUCCUUUUUUAUGAAGCGAGAGAAGACUAUUGAAAGUAGUAUUGAAAUAAAAACCAGUCAGGACACAGCAGAUCAAAACCAUAUCAAAAAUACAAAAAAUGAUAAGACAGAAAAAAUGACUUUAAAGAGACCAAGUAAUGGAGACAAAAUUGGAAAUGCAGCCAAGAAAAAGAAAUCCGAUUCAAGUGAUUCCAGGCAGGGUAGUCUAAAAGGAUUUUUCCUAAAGACAAGUACAAAAAAGGAGGUGGUUGAUAUUAAAAUGGAGGAAGUGUCCUCUGAAACAAAGGGAGAGAAUCACAGCUCUGAGAUGAGUGUAAAAGUUGAGAGUACCAUCACUGUGAAAAGUAACACAGCAAGUGCCUGGAAAAACCUCCUCCAAGGUCCCCCUCCUCCUCCUCUGUGUAAGGGACACCAGGAGCCCUGUGUGUUAAGGACAGUGAAAAAGCCGGGGCCCAAUAAAGGGAAGCAGUUCUUUGUGUGUGCCCGGGGGGAGGGUCACAGUACAAAUCCAGAAGCCAGGUGCGACUUCUUCAAGUGGGUGGACUACAAAAAAAAGUGACGAGGUUUCUGCACAAUAAUUAUGCAUCCCUGUUGUGAUUUAUAUUUUGAUACACUGUAUUUUGCACAAAUAUUUCCAUAAAGAUGAUUAUUUUUCCAU